rnacentral:rRNA from 1 species
UACGUAGGCAGCGAGCGUUGUUCGGAGUUACUGGGCGUAAAGGGCGCGUAGGCGGCCAGCGCAAGUCAGUUGUGAAAUCUCCGGGCUUAACUCGGAACGGUCAACUGAUACUGCGCGGCUAGAGUGCAGAAGGGGCAACUGGAAUUCUCGGUGUAGCGGUGAAAUGCGUAGAUAUCGAGAGGAACACCUGCGGCGAAGGCGGGUUGCUGGGCUGACACUGACGCUGAUGCGCGAAAGCCAGGGGAGCGAACGGG